GACGAACGCUGGCGGCGUGCUUAACACAUGCAAGUCGAGCGGUAAGGCUCCUUCGGGAGUACACGAGCGGCGAACGGGUGAGUAACACGUGAGCAAUCUGCCCUUCUCAUCGGAAUAACCAUUGGAAACGAUGGCUAAUGCCGAAUACGACUUCCUUUCGCAUGUCAGGAAGUGGAAAGCUCCGGCGGAGAAGGAUGAGCUCGCGGCCUAUCAGCUUGUUGGUGAGGUAAUGGCUCACCAAGGCGACGACGGGUAGCCGGCCUGAGAGGGUGACCGGCCAAGCUGGGACUGAGACACGGCCCAGACUCCUACGGGAGGCAGCAGUGGGGAAUAUUGGACAAUGGGCGAAAGCCUGAUCCAGCAACGCCGCGUGAGGGAUGACGGCCUUCGGGUUGUAAACCUCUUUCAGCAGGGACGAAGCGAAAGUGACGGUACCUGCGGAAGAAGGACCGGCCAACUACGUGCCAGCCGCCGCCGUAA
rnacentral:rRNA from 1 species